rnacentral:rRNA from 1 species
UACGGAGGGAGCUAGCGUUGUUCGGAAUUACUGGGCGUAAAGCGCACGUAGGCGGCUUUGUAAGUUAGAGGUGAAAGCCCGGAGCUCAACUCCGGAAUUGCCUUUAAGACUGCAUCGCUAGAAUCAUGGAGAGGUUAGUGGAAUUCCGAGUGUAGAGGUGAAAUUCGUAGAUAUUCGCAAGAACACCAGUGGCGAAGGCGGCUCACUGGCCCGGUACUGACGCUGAGGCACGAAAGCGUGGGGAGCAAACAGG